UACAGAGGGUGCGAGCGUUAAUCGGAAUUACUGGGCGUAAAGCGUGCGUAGACGGUUAUUUAAGUCGGAUGUGAAAGCCCCGGGCUCACCCUGGGAAUUGCAUUCGAGACUGAAUAGCUAGGGUACGGUAGAGGGAAGUGGAAUUUCCGGUGUAGCGGUGAAAUGCGUAGAUAUCGGAAGGAACAUCAGUGGCGAAAGCGACUUCCUGGACCAGUACCGACGUUCAGGCACGAAAGCGUGGGGAGCAAACAGG
rnacentral:rRNA from 1 species